UACAGAGGUGGCAAGCGUUGUUCGGAAUUACUGGGCGUAAAGGGCUCGUAGGCGGCCAACUAAGUCGGAUGUGAAAUCCCCAGGCUCAACCUGGGAACUGCAUCCGAUACUGGAUGGCUUGAAUCCGGGAGAGGGAUGUGGAAUUCCAGGUGUAGCGGUGAAAUGCGUAGAUAUCUGGAGGAACACCGGUGGCGAAGGCGGCAUCCUGGACCGGUAUUGACGCUGAGGCGCGAAAGCCAGGGUAGCAAACGGG
rnacentral:rRNA from 1 species